rnacentral:rRNA from 1 species
UCAAGUGAAGAAGCGCAUACGGUGGAUGCCUUGGCAGUCAGAGGCGAUGAAAGACGUGGUAGCCUGCGAAAAGCUUCGGGGAGUCGGCAAACAGACUUUGAUCCGGAGAUCUCUGAAUGGGGGAACCCACCUAGGAUAACCUAGGUAUCUUGUACUGAAUCCAUAGGUGCAAGAGGCGAACCAGGGGAACUGAAACAUCUAAGUACCCUGAGGAAAAGAAAUCAACCGAGAUUCCCUUAGUAGUGGCGAGCGAACGGGGAUUAGCCCUUAAGCUUCAUUGAUUUUAGCGGAACGCUCUGGAAAGUGCGGCCAUAGUGGGUGAUAGCCCCGUACGCGAAAGGAUCUUUGAAGUGAAAUCGAGUAGGACGGAGCACGAGAAACUUUGUCUGAACAUGGGGGGACCAUCCUCCAAGGCUAAAUACUACUGACUGACCGAUAGUGAACCAGUACCGUGAGGGAAAGGCGAAAAGAACCCCGGAGAGGGGAGUGAAAUAGAACCUGAAACCGUAUGCGUACAAGCAGUGGGAGCCUACUUGUUAGGUGACUGCGUACCUUUUGUAUAAUGGGUCAGCGACUUAUAUUCAGUGGCAAGCUUAACCGUAUAGGGUAGGCGUAGCGAAAGCGAGUCUUAAUAGGGCGUUUAGUCGCUGGGUAUAGACCCGAAACCGGGCGAUCUAUCCAUGAGCAGGUUGAAGGUUAGGUAACACUGACUGGAGGACCGAACCCACUCCCGUUGAAAAGGUAGGGGAUGACUUGUGGAUCGGAGUGAAAGGCUAAUCAAGCUCGGAGAUAGCUGGUUCUCCUCGAAAGCUAUUUAGGUAGCGCCUCAUGUAUCACUCUGGGGGGUAGAGCACUGUUUCGGCUAGGGGGUCAUCCCGACUUACCAAACCGAUGCAAACUCCGAAUACCCAGAAGUGCCGAGCAUGGGAGACACACGGCGGGUGCUAACGUCCGUCGUGAAAAGGGAAACAACCCAGACCGCCAGCUAAGGUCCCAAAGUUGUGGUUAAGUGGUAAACGAUGUGGGAAGGCUUAGACAGCUAGGAGGUUGGCUUAGAAGCAGCCAUCCUUUAAAGAAAGCGUAAUAGCUCACUAGUCGAGUCGGCCUGCGCGGAAGAUGUAACGGGGCUCAAACCACACACCGAAGCUGCGGGUGUCACGUAAGUGACGCGGUAGAGGAGCGUUCUGUAAGCCUGUGAAGGUGAGUUGAGAAGCUUGCUGGAGGUAUCAGAAGUGCGAAUGCUGACAUGAGUAACGACAAUGGGUGUGAAAAACACCCACGCCGAAAGACCAAGGGUUCCUGCGCAACGUUAAUCGACGCAGGGUUAGUCGGUUCCUAAGGCGAGGCUGAAAAGCGUAGUCGAUGGGAAACAGGUUAAUAUUCCUGUACUUCUGGUUACUGCGAUGGAGGGACGGAGAAGGCUAGGCCAGCUUGGCGUUGGUUGUCCAAGUUUAAGGUGGUAGGCUGAAAUCUUAGGUAAAUCCGGGGUUUCAAGGCCGAGAGCUGAUGACGAGUCGUCUUUUAGAUGACGAAGUGGUUGAUGCCAUGCUUCCAAGAAAAGCUUCUAAGCUUCAGGUAACCAGGAACCGUACCCCAAACCGACACAGGUGGUCGGGUAGAGAAUACCAAGGCGCUUGAGAGAACUCGGGUGAAGGAACUAGGCAAAAUGGCACCGUAACUUCGGGAGAAGGUGCGCCGGCUAGGGUGAAGGAUUUACUCCGUAAGCUCUGGCUGGUCGAAGAUACCAGGCCGCUGCGACUGUUUAUUAAAAACACAGCACUCUGCAAACACGAAAGUGGACGUAUAGGGUGUGACGCCUGCCCGGUGCCGGAAGGUUAAUUGAUGGGGUUAGCGCAAGCGAAGCUCUUGAUCGAAGCCCCGGUAAACGGCGGCCGUAACUAUAACGGUCCUAAGGUAGCGAAAUUCCUUGUCGGGUAAGUUCCGACCUGCACGAAUGGCGUAACGAUGGCGGCGCUGUCUCCACCCGAGACUCAGUGAAAUUGAAAUCGCUGUGAAGAUGCAGUGUAUCCGCGGCUAGACGGAAAGACCCCGUGAACCUUUACUGUAGCUUUGCACUGGACUUUGAGCCUGCUUGUGUAGGAUAGGUGGGAGGCUUUGAAGCGUGGACGCCAGUUCGCGUGGAGCCAUCCUUGAAAUACCACCCUGGCAUGCUUGAGGUUCUAACUCUGGUCCGUGAUCCGGAUCGAGGACAGUGUAUGGUGGGCAGUUUGACUGGGGCGGUCUCCUCCUAAAG